UUCCCUGUAGCUCAGAAGGUAAAGAAUCUGUCUGCCAUGCAGAAGACCUGGGUUUGAUUCCUGGGUGGGAAA
rnacentral:tRNA from 1 species